GACGAAGGGUGCUAGCGUUGUUCGGAUUGACUGGGCGUAAAGGGCGCGUAGGCGGUUUUUUAAGUUAGGCGUGAAAGCCCUGGGCUUAACCCAGGACGUGCGCUUAAGACUGGAGAACUUGAGAUUGGAAGAGGAAAGUGGAAUUCCUAGUGUAGAGGUGAAAUUCGUAGAUAUUAGGAAGAACACCAGUGGCGAAGGCGACUUUCUGGUCCAAUACUGACGCUGAGGCGCGAAAGUGUGGGGAGCAAACAGG
rnacentral:rRNA from 1 species